rnacentral:rRNA from 1 species
UACAGAGGUCUCAAGCGUUGUUCGGAUUCAUUGGGUUUAAAGGGUGCGUAGGCGGCUUUGUAAGUCAGUGGUGAAAUAUGGCAGCUCAACUGUCAAGGUGCCAUUGAUACUGCGGAGCUUGAGUACAGAUGAGGUAGGCGGAAUUGACGGUGUAGCGGUGAAAUGCUUAGAUAUCGUCAAGAACACCUAUAGCGAAGGCAGCUUACUAGGCUGUAACUGACGCUGAGGCACGAAAGUGUGGGGAUCAAACAGG